AUUGAACGCUGGCGGCAGGCCUAACACAUGCAAGUCGAGCGGAUGAAGGGAGCUUGCUCCUGGAUUCAGCGGCGGACGGGUGAGUAAUGCCUAGGAAUCUGCCUGGUAGUGGGGGAUAACGUCCGGAAACGGGCGCUAAUACCGCAUACGUCCUGAGGGAGAAAGUGGGGGAUCUUCGGACCUCACGCUAUCAGAUGAGCCUAGGCCGGAUUAGCUAGUUGGUGGGGUAAAGGCCUACCAAGGCGACGAUCCGUAACUGGUCUGAGAGGAUGAUCAGUCACACUGGAACUGAGACACGGUCCAGACUCCUACGGGAGGCAGCAGUGGGGAAUAUUGGACAAUGGGCGAAGGCCUGAUCCAGCCAUGCCGCGUGUGUGAAGAAGGUCUUCGGAUUGUAAAGCACUUUAAGUUGGGAGGAAGGGCAGUAAGUUAAUACCUUGCUGUUUUGACGUUACCAACAGAAUAAGCACCGGCUAACUUCGUG
rnacentral:rRNA from 1 species